rnacentral:lncRNA from 1 species
UAUUCAUUGAAGAUUCAUCCAUGUCUUCAAUGGCAUGAUAGUGCAUUUCUUUCUAUUGAUGCAUAGUGUUCCAUUGUAUGGAUGUACCACAGUUAAUUUCUUCAUUCACCUUUUGACAGAUAUGAUGACUACUUCCAGUUUUUGAUGAGUAUGAACAGAACUCCCAUGACCAUUCACGUGCAGGUGUGCAAGCUUUUGUAUAGGAAGAAAUUUUCAAGUCAAUUGGGUAAAUACUCAGAAACACAAAUGAUGAGGGAUAAGAAACAAUCUUAUUAACCAAGUAAGUGAAGACCCAGUUCCUUUGCACCCCCAACCUCCUCAAAAUGAUGGAGUUGGCUACGAGAGGAACCUGAGGUGGAGACAUCCUCUCACACAGAAGACUCAACAUAGAAGAAUAGAGGAAGGAAGAGGAGCUGCACAAAUAGACAGUCAGAGGUAGAAGAGAGGAUAUACAAAUUUAUUUCAUGAAGCUGGCAUACUUCCAUAUCAAAAUCCGGAAAGGAUAAACUCACCAAAAAAGAAAAAGGAAAAGGAGAAGGAUACAAAAAAAAAUAGGUCCCUAAUGCUUGCUGUCCAUGGUUAAAUGAGCAUAAUUUUGGAUUGCUAUUUCCCUGCACAUAGAAUACUAAAGAUAAUCAAAUACAAUAUCUCAUAAUGUAUGCUCCUGUUCUUUCAAAA